GACGAACGCUGGCGGCGUGCCUAAUACAUGCAAGUAGAACGCUGAAGAGAGGAGCUUGCUCUUCUUGGAUGAGUUGCGCACGGGUGAGUAACGCGUAGGUAACCUGCCUUGUAGCGGGGGAUAACUAUUGGAAACGAUAGCUAAUACCGCAUAACAAUGGAUGACACAUGUCAUUUAUUUGAAAGGGGCAAUUGCUCCACUACAAGAUGGACCUGCGUUGUAUUAGCUAGUAGGUGAGGUAAUGGCUCACCUAGGCGACGAUACAUAGCCGACCUGAGAGGGGGAUCGGCCACACUGGGACUGAGACACGGCCCAGACUCCUACGGGAGGCAGCAGUAGGGAAUCUUCGGCAAUGGGGGCAACCCUGACCGAGCAACGCCGCGUGAGUGAAGAAGGUUUUCGGAUCGUAAAGCUCUGUUGUAAGUCAAGAACGGGUGUGAGAGUGGAAAGUUCACACUGUGACGGUAGCUUACCAGAAAGGGACGGCUAACUACGUG
rnacentral:rRNA from 1 species